UACGGAGGGGGCUAGCGUUGUUCGGAAUUACUGGGCGUAAAGCGCGCGUAGGCGGACCUGCAAGUCGGAUGUGAAAGCCCUCGGCUUAACUGAGGAAGUGCACCCGAAACUGAGUAGCUAGAGUACGAAAGAGGGUCGCGGAAUUCCCGGUGUAGAGGUGAAAUUCGUAGAUAUCGGGAGGAACACCGGUGGCGAAGGCGGCGACCUGGGUCGAGACUGACGCUGAGGCGCGAAAGCGUGGGGAGCAAACAGG
rnacentral:rRNA from 1 species